rnacentral:rRNA from 1 species
CCUACGGGCGGCUGCAGUGAGGAAUAUUGGUCAAUGGGCGUGAGCCUGAACCAGCCAAGUCGCGUGAAGGAUGAAGGUUCUAUGGGUCGUAAACUUCUUUUAUAAAGGAAUAAAGUGCGGCACGUGUGCCUUUUUGUAUGUAUCUUAUGAAUAAGGAUCGGCUAACUCCGUGCCAGCAGCCGCGGUAAUACGGAGGAUCCGAGCGUUAUCCGGAUUUAUUGGGUUUAAAGGGUGCGUAGGUGGGUUGUUAAGUCAGUGGUGAAAGUUUGGGGCUCAACCAUAAAAUUGCCAUUGAAACUGGCAGCCUUGAGUACAGUUGAGGCAGGCGGAAUUCGUGGUGUAGCGGUGAAAUGCUUAGAUAUCACGAAGAACUCCGAUUGCGAAGGCAGCCUGCUAAGCUGCCACUGACAUUGAUGCACGAAAGUGUGGGUAUCAAACAGGAUUAGAUACCCUUGUAGUC